GAUGAACGCUGGCGGCGUGCCUAAUACAUGCAAGUCGAGCGAACGGACGAGAAGCUUGCUUUUCUGAUGUUAGCGGCGGACGGGUGAGUAACACGUGGAUAACCUACCUAUAAGACUGGGAUAACUUCGGGAAACCGGAGCUAAUACCGGAUAAUAUUUUGAACCGCAUGGUUCAAAAGUGAAAGACGGUCUUGCGGUCACUUAUAGAUGGAUCGCCGCUGCAUUAGCUAGUUGGUAAGGUAACGGCUUACCAAGGCAACGAGGCAUAGCCGACCGGAGAGGCUGAUAGGCCACACUGGAACUGAGACACGGUCCAGACUCCUGCGGGAGGCAGCAGUAGGGAAUCUGCCGCAAUGGGCGAAAGCCUGACGGAGCAACGCCGCGUGAGUGAUGAAGGUCUUCGGAUCGUAAAACUCUGUUAUUAGGGAAGAACAUAUGUGUAAGUAACUGUGCACAUCUUGACGGUACCUAAUCAGAAAGCCACGGCUAACUACGUG
rnacentral:rRNA from 1 species